rnacentral:sRNA from 2 species
AGGCCCGGUGGCGUAGCAGUUAACUACUCACUUGGUGUCCCAGAAGGGGCGCGGGUUCGAAUCCUGCAGGGCUCAUUUAACCAAUUUCCACUGUUAAAUCACCAAACAGUACCGGGUGUAACCGGCCCCUUUUAAGGUGCUGGCUAUAACCGGGCGCUAAAUUCUCACUGAUCUUGUGGGGCUAGAACCCCCUGAGUGCUUCAAGUUAGAUCAGUACUGGAUAGGUAAGGUGUGGGGUGGAGAAACCCGCAGGAUAGUGAAUCAUUGUCAAGCUUAACUGGCCAGGGAUUCACCGCCACUUCACCCACUACCAUCUAGGCACCUCUAAAUUCCGGGGAAUUAAGAGAUAAAAACUACCCGAUAAGGGCACCCCGGGCCUAGUGAGGAUCUAGGUGAGGCGAGGCCUAGGCACCACUAGAUGAUUAGUGCAAGCAAGGCCAUGACAGCCAAUUGAUAGGCUGGAAUGCUGAGAUUGACAGCUGGAAGGUUAGAGGAUUUAACUAGAACUGAGUAGCUCUGAUGUUAUUCUUAGUGAGAAUCCCACUUAGAUAGACUAGUUAAGGAACUCAGAUGGGCAGUGGCAUUCUAGAGAGAAUGAUAACCUCUAAUGAUGACUCAAGAGAACAGAGGCAGCAGCUGGUUAUAUAGAGUGUUAAAAUAUGUAUAUAGCUCAAGAUGUAAACUGCAGAGGUUUAUUCUGUAGUUUUAAAUUUUCUUUGUAAUAGUUACUAUUUUCCUUUUAUAUAUAUAUUGAGU